rnacentral:lncRNA from 1 species
GAUGAUGGACUUUUAAACCUUAGAAGAUAGUAGAAUUCAUUCUCUACGUGACUCUUCUAAUGGAUUGCUGUUUCUGCUGCUGUUGUUGAUCUAAAACUUGUUGUCUAUUAUAUUCCAUUAGAUUUUUCCCUGUUGCAGACUAACGAUAAUAUUUUGUAUAUUAUCUUAGUCAUAAUAUUCUUUAUCGGGCUAGUUGAGCUCACCCUUUUCCUUUUUGUUCCAUUUUUCUUCUCAAGAGGUGAGAACAUAGCAGGAUCUAGUCGGGGUAUGGAGUGAUGGUUCUAGAAAGAUGUUUUAGCAGUCUUCACUAUUUCUGUAAAAUAGUGUAUGAAUAAUUGUAAUGAGGACUUAUUUGAGUGUGGAUAUUGUCUAGAGGAUAAUAUUUGUAUUUAAACUCACAGUUUGUGUUGUCGUAUUUUGCACGACAAUUGUAUUAUUGAUGUUGUAGUUUGCUUUCUGUACCAUGUAUUUGGCGACUCAGAAUGGGUGUUGUAUACCUAUUUUGGGGGCGUCACAAAUAAGUCAAUGUCUAAUAUCCCUGGAGUCAAAUUUAAACGUUGAGCACAAGUAGAAGAAAUAAAAGAGUGGGUUGAAUCGGUAUCGAAUAAGGUAUAGAUUUCGCAAGAGUUUAUGAUUAACUUACUGAUAAGUAGAUUUUAUACCUACUUAUCCGGUAUUUGUUAGUUGAAUUAGUUGCUUAUAUUCAUGUGUCUUAGUUACUUUUCAUACAUUUUGUGUUCAUUUUGUAGGUUAUAUGUUUGGGAAUGGUGUGAGCGACUAUUGGUAAGGAAAAACAAGGAAAAUGUAAAGAAAAGCAAUUCAGACAUCUUUUGGACCAAAAUAUGCAUGUAAAUGCAAGAAGGGAAGAUUGAAUGACUUUUAACACCAAGUUGGAUGCAUGUUCUUGGCUUGGAACUUAGAUUAUACUGUAGAUCUUCUUCUUAGCUUUUCGGAAUAUUUUGAAUCAUCCCAAUCGGAGUUCGGAUGCGAGAGUUAUGGCCUUUUUAUCAACGAAGAUCAAAGCUAAGAGUUCUCAUGUUUGCAAUUUACACAGCAUCUACUUCAAGCUCUAUUUCAAUUUUUUUCCGUCCAGAAUUUCUCAAAUCUUAAAGAAUGAAAGUUGUAGAGCUCGUCGAUAGCUUCGAUUU